rnacentral:rRNA from 1 species
UGCGUAGGCGGUCGGGUAAGUCUGACGUGAAAUCUUCAAGCUCAACUUGGAAACUGCGUCGGAUACUAUUCGGCUCGAGGAAUGGAGGGGAGACUGGAAUACUUGGUGCAGCAGUGAAAUGCGUAGAUAUCAAGUGGAACACCAGUGGCGAAGGCGAGUCUCUGGACAUUUCCUGACGCUGAGGCACGAAAGCCAGGGGAGCAAACG